CGGGCGGUUCGCUGCUCGCGACUCGGCGAGAAGUCCAUUGAACCUUAUCAUUUAGAGGAAGGAGAAGUCGUAACAAGGUUUCCGUAGGUGAACCUGCGGAAGGAUCAUUG
rnacentral:rRNA from 1 species